UGGCUAAUCCUGGUCGGACAUCAGGAGGUUAGUGCAAUGGCAUAAGCCAGCUUGACUGCGAGCGUGACGGCGCGAGCAGGUGCGAAAGCAGGUCAUAGUGAUCCGGUGGUUCUGAAUGGAAGGGCCAUCGCUCAACGGAUAAAAGGUACUCCGGGGAUAACAGGCUGAUACCGCCCAAGAGUUCAUAUCGACGGCGGUGUUUGGCACCUCGAUGUCGGCUCAUCACAUCCUGGGGCUGAAGUAGGUCCCAAGGGUAUGGCUGUUCGCCAUUUAAAGUGGUACGCGAGCUGGGUUUAGAACGUCGUGAGACAGUUCGGUCCCUAUCUGCCGUGGGCGCUGGAGAAUUGAGGGGGGCUGCUCCUAGUACGAGAGGACCGGAGUGGACGCAUCACUGGUGUUCGGGUUGUCAUGCCAAUGGCACUGCCCGGUAGCUAAAUGC
rnacentral:rRNA from 1 species